GAUAGCUCAGUUGGUAGAGCAUGAAACUCUUAAUCUCAGGGUCCAGUUGGGCAAAAGUUUCCUGCAUUGCAGGGGGUUGGGUUAGAUGACCCCUAUGGUCCCUUCCAACUCUAUGAAGAAACCAUCAGUUACUCAUAAAGUAAGUGUGCUUUGCAAACAGAAGGUCCCAGGUUCAAUCCCAGGUAGGACUG